GUGUUUUCGUUCAAGGUUGUGCUGCAGGAGCCUGCAUCAAUGUAACGACGUGCCACAAUAGGACACUUUAUUACGCAAAUUAUCUGGGAAAGAUGUAUCAAUCCGUGCCGCAUGUCGGGAAAUGAUGCUGACAAACCUCACGAGUGCUCUUGAAUGCCAAAAGAUACGCGAACAUAUAGGCAUUACUGACUACAAUGUCUCCUUCAAGACUCUACACGGCAUCUGUCACGCCUCCUUUGCCUUUAAGCUCUUUCAACGUCUCAAGCAACUUCUGCACGGAAGAGAAUGUCUCUGAGUGCAUUCUAUACAUCAAUCAGGAGUUGUUGUCCCUGUGUUUUCCACCAAUUUUCCAAAACUCAGACAGCAUUAGUGAUCUGGAUGCUGUGGUUGCCCUAAACAACAUAUAUGACUUGCUUCAGCUCCACCGUCGAGCUGUUGGAAUGAUGGAGGAGCUGGAGGUGGAGCAGCUCAAGUCCAGCAGUGACCUCCACUACCAACAUCUCACCAACUCCAGGCUAAAGGACCAGCUUGAACUUUCGAAAAAGGAAAACAUGCGCUUGCAUGAGCGAGAGCGUCAGCUGGAAACAAAUGUAAAGACUUUGCAAAAUUGCCUAAAAGAUACAAAAGAAGAGGUACAAAGGCUGCAGGGUAUCAUUGCAAGUCGUGCCACACAGUACAACCAUGACAUUAAGAGAAGAGAAAGGGAGCACAACAGAGUUAAAGAGCGCCUCAAUCAACUACUCAUUGCCAAAAAGGAAAAUAAACAAGGAAUGGAAGUUUUGAAUUAUAUUGGAAGGUCUGAUGGUAGGAGAUGUCUUUGGAAAACCGGAAAAACUGAAUCCAGACACGAGGGAGAUAUGUACAAAACUCUUCUUAAUGAAUUUGAUAACCGUCAGAGGGAGCUAAUGGUGGAAAACACAGAGCUGAAGAAGGUGCUUCAGCAAGUAAAACGAGAAAUGGUGGGGGUUUUAAAUUCAAAGAAGAUGAGCCAAGAGGAAGAGAAGCAAAGCAAUGAUAUGGAUCAGUCAACUCUGCAGACAAAUUCUGAUGAAGAUGAACUUUUGAAAAGACAUCAUGAGAUGUCAUGUGAUCAUGCUCGGGAGAAACUCACCAACAGCAUUCGUCAGCAGUGGAGGAAACUCAAGCACCAUGUUGAGAGAUUAGACAGCCAAGCAUCCAUGGUGCAAGAUGGAGACAGUGAAGAGGUGAUCUCCAAACAACUUCAUGAAGAGGAGAUGGAGAGGCUCAAACUAGAAAUCCAGCAGUGUAAAGAGUUCAUUCAGACUCAACAGCAACUUCUCCAACAACAGCUCAACACUCCCUGUGAUGAGGAGACUGCAGCUGUUCUGAAUGACUCUUACAUGCUGGAAGAGAAGGAACGCUUGAAAGAAGAGUGGAAAGUGUUUGAAGAACAGAGGAAAAAUUUUGAAAUGGAAAGGAGAAAUUUCACAGAGGCUGCCAUCAGAUUGGGCCACGAGAGGAAAUGUUUUGAGGAUGAUCGUGCAAUGUGGAUCAAACAUCAGUUUCUUAACACAACAUUUGCAGACCAGAUGAAACCACAAAGUCGAAUGGCUGAUGAAUUUUCAAAGCAUUCUGGUCGUGAAGAAAAGCUCAUUUCAAUUUCUGGUAAAGUGAGCAAAUCUCAUCUGUAAUCCCAUCCAUGGAACUGCUUGCAGAUGAACCUACUUUUUUUUUUUCAACACCAGAGGAGAGAUACCAGGAACCAAUAUGAAUUAGUCGCUGAAGAUCCCAGUCUGUCAAGAUCCUUUCUCCAGGAGUGUGCGAGCCUAAAUCCAGUCAGCCCUGUCAGUGGUGUGUGUGUGUGUGUGCCAUCAGUCUGUCAUCCUCCACAACCCCAGUCCAAACCCAUCCUGGCAAGCGCUUUUCGCUGUUCCUACUACGGAAAGAACUGUCAUCCAUUCACGGGUCGAACUCAAGGAUUCCUCACACUAGAACUGUGACACUCACCCAUUCCUCCACAUCCAUUCAUUCUGCCACCCAGCUGUUCAAAAUAAACCACCUUCACUAUUGUUUACCUGGUUGUCCAUCUGCUUCCUUAACAGAAGCCCGGACCUAAAACGACAGCAAAACAGCAUGAGUGUUCCAGAUCCCUUCCAAGAGGUGGUGGAUUCUUUGAAGAGGGUAUUAACAUCCUCUCCUACCAUCAUGCCUCCUGCACCACCGGCACCACCACCACCAAGCACUUCUCUGGCCACCGCAUCUUCCAGUCCCAUGGCCCGACCGGCGCCCUGCUCUGGCGGGGCGGAGGAGUGCAAUGUUUUUUUGCUUCAAUGCUCCCUAAUAUUCACGAUGCAACCAACUCUAUAUCCUCCGCCCAUCUGAAGCCGCCAGCCCUCCAGAACCAGAACCCAUGAUCAUUGAAUCUGGCAAAAUUACCGCUGCUGAGUGACAGAGGAGGCUGACCCGGGGUCUGUGUAUGUAUUGUGGAGCCAGUGGACAUGUUCGGUUGAACUGUUUUGUGGCCAAAAAGGAUGGAGGGCUAUGGCCAUGCAUUGAUUACUGAACCCUUAACCAAAGCACCAUCAAAUCCAAAUAUCCCCUUCCUUUUGGCCCUGCGGCCCUCGAACAACUUAGAUCUACUACCAUCUUCACUAAGUUGGACCUCCGCAGCGCAUACAAUCUGGUGAGAAUACGUGAAGGGGAUGGAUGGAAGACCGCUUUUGUGACCCCAACUGGUCACUAUGAAUAUCUGGUUAUGCCCUGUGGUUUAGUCAACGCCCCUUCCGUUUUCCAAAACUUCAUACACAAAGUCCUCUGGGAGUUUCUGCAUCGCUUCGUGGUCGUUUAUAUAGAUGACAUUAGAGCCCUGCACAGGCCUCAAAUCUAGGCCCAAGCCCGGCCCUGGCCCGAGACGCUCAGGCCCUAGCCCGACCCGUGUCCGACAGCUCAUCAGAAUUAUCAGCCCGAGUCCGACACGAGCCCGUGUUUUUAUUUAUUUAUUUAUUUAUUUUAUUACACAGCGGGAGCCUGCCCUAUUUGCAACGAUUAAAAAAGGUGGCAGUUUUGUGUUAUGUUUCUUUUCAUUUCUUUAUCAAGUUAAUUUAGAAAAAUGUUUGGAGCAUUUAAAAAAAAAAAAUACGAUUAACGUUAAACAGCCGAGCCGA